UACGUAGGGUGCGAGCGUUAAUCGGAAUUACUGGGCGUAAAGCGUGCGCAGGCGGUUUUGUAAGUCAGAUGUGAAAUCCCCGGGCUUAACCUGGGAAUGGCAUUUGGGACUGCAAGGCUGGAGUUUGGCAGAGGAGACUGGAAUUCCCGGUGUAGCAGUGAAAUGCGUAGAUAUCGGGAGGAAUACCGAUGGCGAAGGCAGGUCUCUGGGCUAUAACUGACGCUCAUGCACGAAAGCGUUGGGAGCAAACAGG
rnacentral:rRNA from 1 species